rnacentral:rRNA from 1 species
UACGUAGGGGGCAAGCGUUGUCCGGAUUUAUUGGGCGUAAAGAGCGUGUAGGCGGCUAUACAGGUCCGCUGUGAAAACUCGAGGCUCAACCUCGAGACGUCGGUGGAAACUGUAUGGCUAGAGUCCGGAAGAGGAGAGUGGAAUUCCUGGUGUAGCGGUGAAGUGCGCAGAUAUCAGGAAGAACACCCGUGGCGAAGGCGGCUCUCUGGGACGGUACUGACGCUGAGACGCGAAAGCGUGGGGAGCGAACAGG